CAGUCGCCGCGGUAAUACGGAGGGUGCAAGCGUUAUCCGGAUUUAUUGGGUUUAAAGGGUCCGUAGGCGGAUCUGUAAGUCAGUGGUGAAAUCUCACAGCUUAACUGUGAAACUGCCAUUGAUACUGCAGGUCUUGAGUAAAUUUGAAGUGGCUGGAAUAAGUAGUGUAGCGGUGAAAUGCAUAGAUAUUACUUAGAACACCAAUUGCGAAGGCAGGUCACUAAGAUUUAACUGAAGCUGAUGGACGAAAGCGUGGGGAGCGAACAGGAUUAGAUACCCCGGUAGUCCCUGUCUCUUAUAC
rnacentral:rRNA from 1 species